rfam:Schistosoma haematobium scaffold670_13, whole genome shotgun sequence.
AUCCAGCUGACGAGUCCCAAAAAUAGAACGAAACGCACGUCCUGAAU